AGGGGUCAAAGCAUCAUGCAAGUGCUUGACAACUAACCACCGGCACGCGUAUGCAAGUUAGCUACCGCAUAUGAUUGUGGCUCGACCGUAGCUUUGUGGAUAGGCAUGGGCGUACGGGCACCCAAGAACAAACUUACUAUAAUUGUGUUUCCAAAUCAUAAACUAUAUGGCAUGUGCUGCGUGUGAGAGAACACGAAGUAGUCGUGGACUAGUGGCUUACAGGAGAAGAGGAUCGGAGGAGAAAAGACACAGGUCAUAUUGUUGCCUAGAUUCCCAUCAGGCAAUCAGCCCAUGCUAUGCCCCCCGGUCCUGCGUACAACACAAUAUAUAGGACAAGGGCCUGUUAGUACCCCAAACUCCCAACUUUGACACUAUAAAAAAGAAGAUUUCCCAUCACAUCAAACUUACGGUACAUGCAUCGAGUAUUAAAUGUAGACGAAAUUAAAAACUAAUUGCACAGUUUUGUUGUACUUUGCGAGACGAAUCUUUUGAGCCUAAUUAGUCAAUAUUUGGACAAUAAUUCAUAAAUACAAACGAAACGCUACAACAUGCUACAGUGCUACAAUAGUGAUUUUGGACACCCAAAUUCAGGCAACUAAACAAGGCCCAAAGGGCCUGUUUAGUUCCCCCAAAAUCCCAACUUUGGCACUAUGCAAAAAGAAGAUUCCCCAUCACAUCAAACUUGUGGUACAUGCAUGGAGUACUAAAUGUAAACGAAAUUAAAAACAAAUUGCACAGUUUUGUUGUACUUUGCGAGACGAAUCUUUUGAGCCUAAUUAGUCAAUGUUUGGACAAUAAUUCACAAAUACAAAUGAAAUGCUAUAGUUGCGCAUUUAUGGCAAAAUGCCAAUUUUGCCACUUCCAAAUUGGGAACUAAACAAGGCCAAAAAAAUCAUGCUUCACUGGGGUAGUCUCGCAAGUGGCUCUGCUAGCACGUAUGGGACUUUGUUACCUACCAUUUCUAUCUAGCUCUAGCAGGAUAUCAAGCCCUCCAUGCCUCUCCGAGACCCCAACUAAUCUUGUACUCCCUUCAUUCCAAAUUUUCAAAUUGUUAAUCGUUUUGAUAUUUCUAAAUUCAUAGUUUUGCUAUGCACCUAGACAAUACAAUAUCUACAUACAUAUUAAUAGUUAUGAAUCUAUAUUUGCCAAAACGAUCUAAAAUUUGAGAUGAGAAAAUACGUAUAUAUCCA
rnacentral:lncRNA from 1 species